GGAGCAAUCCUGGCGGCGAGUGGCGAACGGGUGAGUAAUACAUCGGAACGUGUCCUGUAGUGGGGGAUAGCCCGGCGAAAGCCGGAUUAAUACCGCAUACGCUCUACGGAGGAAAGGGGGGGAUCUUAGGACCUCUCGCUACAGGGGCGGCCGAUGGCGGAUUAGCUAGUUGGUGGGGUAAAGGCCUACCAAGGCGACGAUCCGUAGCUGGUCUGAGAGGACGACCAGCCACACUGGGACUGAGACACGGCCCAGACUCCUACGGGAGGCAGCAGUGGGGAAUUUUGGACAAUGGGGGCAACCCUGAUCCAGCAAUGCCGCGUGUGUGAAGAAGGCCUUCGGGUUGUAAAGCACUUUUGUCCGGAAAGAAAUCAUCCUGGUUAAUACCUGGGGUGGAUGACGGUACCGGAAGAAUAAGCACCGGCUAACUACGUGCCAGCAGCCGCGGUAAUACGUAGGGUGCAAGCGUUAAUCGGAAUUACUGGGCGUAAAGCGUGCGCAGGCGGUUCGCUAAGACAGAUGUGAAAUCCCCGGGCUUAACCUGGGAACUGCAUUUGUGACUGGCGGGCUAGAGUAUGGCAGAGGGGG
rnacentral:rRNA from 1 species